UACGGAGGGUGCAAACGUUGCUCGGAAUCAUUGGGCGUAAAGCGCACGUAGGCGGCCUGUUAAGUCGGAAGUGAAAUCCCACGGCUCAACCAUGGAAAGUGCUUUCGAAAACUGCUGAGCUUGAGUACGAAAAGAGGAUCGCGGAAUUCCCGGUGUAGAGGUGAAAUUCGUAGAUAUCGGGAGGAACACCAGUGGCGAAGGCGGCGAUCUGGGUCGAUACUGACGCUGAGGUGCGAAAAGCGUGGGGAGCAAACAGG
rnacentral:rRNA from 1 species